GACGGAGGAUGCAAGCGUUAUCCGGAAUGAUUGGGCGUAAAGCGUCCGCAGGUGGCUGUGUAAGUCUGCUGUUAAAGAGUGAGGCUCAACCUCAUAAAGGCAGUGGAAACUACAUGGCUAGAGUGCGUUCGGGGCAGAGGGAAUUCCUGGUGUAGCGGUGAAAUGCGUAGAGAUCGGAAAGAACACCAACGGCGAAAGCACUCUGCUGGGCCGACACUGACACUGAGAGACGAAAGCUAGGGGAGCAAAUGGG
rnacentral:rRNA from 1 species